rnacentral:rRNA from 1 species
UACGUAGGGUGCAAGCGUUGUCCGGAAUUAUUGGGCGUAAAGAGCUCGUAGGCGGUCUGUCACGUCGGCUGUGAAAACCCGAGGCUCAACCUCGGGCCUGCAGUCGAUACGGGCAGACUAGAGUUCGGUAGGGGAGACUGGAAUUCCUGGUGUAGCGGUGAAAUGCGCAGAUAUCGUAAGGAAGACCAGUGGCGAAGGCGGGUCUCUGGACAGUUCCUGACGCUGAGGCACGAAGGUCAGGGGAGCAAACGGG